GUGCGGCGCCGGGCCCCUCUGGCGAGAGUGACUUAUACUCUCGUGAUGUCGGAGCUGCUCC
rfam:Devosia epidermidihirudinis strain E84 contig19, whole genome shotgun sequence.